CCAGAAGGGAAGGUAUUCUGUCUGAGGCAGCCUGUAUGUUUGUUAUAGGAGUUAUGUGCUUAAAAUUAAACCCGAAACUUAAUACAGCAGCUUAUCAGUUAUUUUAAAUUUGAGCAACCUUAACACUUGAUAAUGCUUAAAGCAGGUACAUUGGAACUUUAUGCAAAUCUCCUGUAAUUUACAAGCUGAGUACAACCUGUAUUUAAUGAGAAAGAAGGAAGCCUGUUGGCAAUUAAACUUGAGGAGUACAAUUUGUAGCAUUGUAUCCUCACUUGGCAUCAUAACCCAUCUUGCCACCUGUCAUCAACAGGAUGAUGCUAUAUCAUUGCUGCUCACUGACCGGUGCUUACUCUGCGAAGCAUGCUUAUGGAAAAAACUGUCAUCAGACCUCACACAAACUUCUAGCUGCUUUGCUGGGGCCUUGGAGCUGUAGAGCUGAUUACAAAUGAGAGAGUACAUGUUUAGGGGUUUGUAUAAAACAGACAGUGUAAUUAAACAAUAUUGAAAUGAAUUUUCUGAAAAAGGACUGUCCAUUCCCACAGAUGAAAUGUGUGCUUAUUUGCG
rnacentral:lncRNA from 1 species